rnacentral:rRNA from 1 species
GCUUGCUCCUUUGACGUUAGCGGCGGACGGGUGAGUAACACGUGGAUAACCUACCUAUAAGACUGGGAUAACUUCGGGAAACCGGAGCUAAUACCGGAUAACAUAUUGAACCGCAUGGUUCAAUAGUGAAAGGCGGCUUUGCUGUCACUUAUAGAUGGAUCCGCGCCGUAUUAGCUAGUUGGUAAGGUAACGGCUUACCAAGGCAACGAUACGUAGCCGACCUGAGAGGGUGAUCGGCCACACUGGAACUGAGACACGGUCCAGACUCCUACGGGAGGCAGCAGUAGGGAAUCUUCCGCAAUGGGCGAAAGCCUGACGGAGCAACGCCGCGUGAGUGAUGAAGGUCUUCGGAUCGUAAAACUCUGUUAUCAGGGAAGAACAAAUGUGUAAGUAACUGUGCACAUCUUGACGGUACCUGAUCAGAAAGCCACGGCUAACUACGUGCCAGCAGCCGCGGUAAUACGUAGGUGGCAAGCGUUAUCCGGAAUUAUUGGGCGUAAAGCGCGCGUAGGCGGUUUUUUAAGUCUGAUGUGAAAGCCCACGGCUCAACCGUGGAGGGUCAUUGGAAACUGGAAAACUUGAGUGCAGAAGAGGAAAGUGGAAUUCCAUGUGGUUAGCGGUGAAAAA